UCAUACAGCCAUACCACCCUGAACGUGCCCGAUCUCGUCUGAUCUCGGAAGCUAAGCAGGGUCGGGCCUGGUUAGUACUUGGAUGGGAAAUGCAAAUUAAAACCAAAAUAAUGUACUGC
rnacentral:rRNA from 1 species